GGGGGCAAAGUGACAGGUGGUGCAUGGUUGUCGUCAGCUCGUGUCGUGAGAUGUUGGGUUAAGUCCCGCAACGAGCGCAACCCUUAUUGUUAGUUGCCAUCAUUUAGUUGGGCACUCUAGCAAGACUGCCGGUGACAAACCGGAGGAAGGUGGGGAUGACGUCAAAUCAUCAUGCCCCUUAUGACCUGGGCUACACACGUGCUACAAUGGGAAGUACAACGAGUCGCGAAGUCGCGAGGCUAAGCUAAUCUCUUAAAGCUUCUCUCAGUUCGGAUUGUAGGCUGCAACUCGCCUACAUGAAGCCGGAAUCGCUAGUAAUCGCGGAUCAGCACGCCGCGGUGAAUACGUUCCCGGGCCUUGUACACACCGCCCGUCACACCACGAAAGUUUGUAACACCCGAAGUCGGUGAGGUAACCUUUU
rnacentral:rRNA from 1 species